UACGUAGGUGGCAAGCGUUGUCCGGAUUUACUGGGCGUAAAGAGCGCGCAGGCGGUCGUUCAAGUCGCGUGUGAAAGCCCCCGGCUCAACUGGGGAGGGUCACGCGAUACUGAUCGACUCGAAGGCAGGAGAGGGAAGUGGAAUUCCCGGUGUAGUGGUGAAAUGCGUAGAUAUCCGGAGGAACACCGGUGGCGAAGGCGGCUUCCUGGACCGACACUGACGCUGAGGCGCGAAAGCUAGGGGAGCAAACGGG
rnacentral:rRNA from 1 species